rnacentral:rRNA from 1 species
GGGAUAACACUUGGAAACAGGUGCUAAUACCGUAUAACACUAUUUUCCGCAUGGAAGAAAGUUGAAAGGCGCUUUUGCGUCACUGAUGGAUGGACCCGCGGUGCAUUAGCUAGUUGGUGAGGUAACGGCUCACCAAGGCCACGAUGCAUAGCCGACCUGAGAGGGUGAUCGGCCACACUGGGACCGAGACACGGCCCAGACUCCUACGGGAGGCAGCAGUAGGGAAUCUUCGGCAAUGGACGAAAGUCUGACCGAGCAACGCCGCGUGAGUGAAGAAGGUUUUCGGAUCGUAAAACUCUGUUGUUAGAGAAGAACAAGGAUGAGAGUAAAAUGUCCAUCCCUUGGCGGUAUCUAACCAGAAAGCCACGGCUAACUACGUGCCAGCAGCCGCGGUAAUACGUAGGUGGCAAGCGUUGUCCGGAUUUAUUGGGCGUAAAGCGAGCGCAGGCGGUUUCUUAAGUCUGAUGUGAAAGCCCCCGGCUCAACCGGGGAGGGUCAUUGGAAACUGGGAGACUUGAGUGCAGAAGAGGAGAGUGGAAUUCCAUGUGUAGCGGUGAAAUGCGUAGAUAUAUGGAGGAACACCAGUGGCGAAGGCGGCUCUCUGGUCUGUAACUGACGCUGAGGCUCGAAAGCGUGGGGAGCGAACAGGAUUAGAUACCCUGGUAGUCCACGCCGUAAACGAUGAGUGAUAAGUGUUGGAGGGUUUCCGCCCUUCAGUGCUGCAGCA